AUAUCUCUCUGUACGGGAAGGAUGAGAAGCUUCGACUAAGGUUCGAUUCGAGCGUCAGCGAGAAAGCGUUGCCGCAGGCAACGACCCGAAGG
rnacentral:sRNA from 3 species